UGAUCCCAGCGUCAAAAGUCUCUCCUCCGCAUCGCGCCGGCGCGAAGGCGGAGGGAGGACUUUAUGACGCGCCCCUUUAUGAGCAUGGAGUGGAGCGAAGCUCCACGGGAAUGCGAAUAAAGAAAGCACGGCGGGAGCUGCAACGCAGCAAAGCCGUGCGGGAUCC
rnacentral:sRNA from 1 species